rnacentral:rRNA from 1 species
UACAUAGGGGACGAGCGUUAUCCGGAAUAAUUGGGCGUAAAGGGUGCGUAGGCGGUGUGUUAAGUUCAAGGUUUAAUCGUAGGGCUCAACCCUAUAUCGCUUUGAAAACUGGCACACUAGAGUAAGAUAGAGGCAAGUGGAAUUCCAUGUGUAGCGGUAAAAUGCGUAAAUAUAUGGCAGAACACCAGAGGCGAAGGCGGCUUGCUGGGUCUUCACUGACGCUGAGGCACGAAAGCGUGGGGAGCAAACA